AGUGAACGCUGGCGGUAGGCCUAACACAUGCAAGUCGAGCGGCAGCACAGUAAGAGCUUGCUCUUACGGGUGGCGAGUGGCGGACGGGUGAGGAAUACAUCGGAAUCUACUUUUUCGUGGGGGAUAACGUAGGGAAACUUACGCUAAUACCGCAUACGACCUACGGGUGAAAGCAGGGGAUCUUCAGACCUUGCGCGAUUGAAUGAGCCGAUGUCGGAUUAGCUAGUUGGCGGGGUAAAGGCCCACCAAGGCGACGAUCCGUAGCUGGUCUGAGAGGAUGAUCAGCCACACUGGAACUGAGACACGGUCCAGACUCCUACGGGAGGCAGCAGUGGGGAAUAUUGGACAAUGGGCGCAAGCCUGAUCCAGCCAUACCGCGUGGGUGAAGAAGGCCUUCGGGUUGUAAAGCCCUUUUGUUGGGAAAGAAAAGCAGCAGGUUAAUACCCCGCUGUUCUGACGGUACCCAAAGAGUAAGCACCGGCUAACUUCGUG
rnacentral:rRNA from 1 species